rnacentral:rRNA from 1 species
AACGAACGCUGGCGGCGUGGCUAAGGCAUGCAAGUCGUACGGGGCUGGAUCGGUAGCAAUAUCGGUUCAGUUCAGUGGCGGACGGGUGAGUAAUACAUAGGUAACGUGCCUUGUGCUCGGGGAUACCGUCGGGCCCGCAAGGGUCCUUUGCGAAAGUGACGUUAAUACCUGAUGACGUCUUUGGGUCGCAUGGCUCGAAGACCAAAGGUGGGGACCGUAAGGCCUACCGGCACGAGAUCGGCCUAUGCCCUAUCAGCUUGUUGGUGAGGUAACGGCUUACCAAGGCUCUGACGGGUAGCCGGCGUGAGAGCGCGACCGGCCACAUCGGGACUGAGACACUGCCCGGACACCUACGGGUGGCUGCAGCAACGAAUAUUCCGCAAUGGGCGCAAGCCUGACGGAGCGACGCCGCGUGGAGGAUGAAGUCCUUCGGGAGUGUAACUACCAACUAAGUUUGUCCAGGAAGCAACCUGGCCUAACUACGUCGGGAAGUUAGACCAGCAGACGAAA